AUUAAAACAAUUUAGUAACAAGUUUGAUGCCCUUUAUUGAAUGGAAGCCAAUCCACAAACCGGGAGAGUACAGCACCUCACAAGCAGUGGAGCACUGUUCUCGCGGGAUUUGGGGCGAGAGCGAGUUUUAUACAGCACGGGAAGCAGCAAUGCGGAAAGAGGGCCUGAUGGACUGUGUUGGCUGUUAGACCUUUAGAAAGCUCAAGCAACCAGGAGGUAAGAGAAGAGCUCAGAGUUGACUUGGCGCUGCGGAUUGGCUGACCGGAUAGACUGCGUUUCUGUGGACUCUGGGCAUUUGAAGGAACAUGGAAGUUAGGUUUAUUGACGUGGCACCCCGGGCAGGAGCAGCUCCAUCUUGGGCCCAGGAAUUUAUUUCAGCAGUACCCUCACGUUUUUAUUAACGCAUUCCCGGCACGUUUGUGGAAGACGUCCGGGCCGGGUCAGAGUAGCUGAUGCGAAGCUGCACAAGUUCCUGACUCCGCGUGUGUAACUUCCGUGCGCUCACCGUUGCGUCAGGGAGGCUGACACACAACAACUGUAACGCUGAGGGAGGGCCGCACGGUGAUGAAGACUGCGCUUGACUCUCGGGAGCAGGCCUCAUUAAUUCUUCAUGGAGAGGUCAGGAGGAUCCUUACAGAGGAGGUAGCAUUUGAAAGAGUUUUGGCAGAAGGAGUGGAAUUUCCCCUAGCAGACAUUAAUGGCAGUCCAGUCAGAGUGAAUCGUGUGAGCAAAGGCAAGGAGACCUGAAACUACGUGAUCUUUUUUCUUGAUUUUAAGUCUGGAAGUUCCUUUUAUGGGUAAUCUGAGCUAUUUGUGCCUAUGAGGAAAAGUUUGAAGAAAAUGGUGAGGGGCUUGAGUCCGAGAGGAAGUGAGCGUCUGUGUUCUCCCUCCCCUCCGCUUCCAACUAGGAAGGCCCAUCAGGUUGCUGGUGGGAUACCCUUUUAACUGUCAGAGGAACUGCUUUGGCUUCUCUGAGGCGUCUGGGGCACGUGACCACAAACUAGGGUAACUGGGUGCUCUCUCCCGGAAUCCAGCCCUUGAGCUUGAGAGACACAAGACGGAAACAGGGAUGAAACCAUUCAUCAAGCUGGUUGUAGCCUCAACAAGACCAUCUGUUUGUUUCUGUUCCCAGAGCACUGAGGUUGCUUCUCUUUAGGAACCUAGUUCCACCUUUUCCUAACAAUAAACUGCUCUUUGCUGGAAUCCCCAGGAAAAGAUAUGAUUGGUGAAGCCUAUUUUUGAACUAGGCUCCACAGAAGAUAGGCUUUUGCCAACCUGUAGAUUCAAGUUCCUUUGUCCAGUCCAAACAGGAAGAAGAAAACAGACUUCAUUGACAAGGAAAAGUAAACAUUGCAUCUUGGCAAAAAUGCAGUUUAAAUAUUUAGAAUAUUGUGAUUCAUUGUUCAAUUAAGCACCAGUCUCAAAUUUUAGGACAGUCGAUGGAUGAUGAAGAGGAGAGGAGAGAAAAGUGCUUGUUUCCCUAGAGGUCUCAGUCUUAUUGCUCCUUCGGAAGAGAAGAGAUAUAGCUUAUACAGACUAAAAUUUGGGGACGAUGACAUGGAGGGUUUGUGCAAAGGCCAGAAACUGUGACAAAUUAUCCAAUUCCACAAAACCGAAGCUAGUCCACCGUCCUCUCUUCAAUCGAAGGGUUGUUCCCCUCCCAAAAAGAACCCAAACAAACAGAAAAGAAAAGAAUCUGUGACUGAGACUUUAUGGUCCACAAAGCCUAAAAUAUUUACUAUGUGGCCCUUUAAGAAGUUUGGCUGACCCUUGUUCUAUCUGAAGGGAGUAAACGGUCAACCAUGCAGGUCUUGGCAGUAACGAGGCACUUCAGACACGGUAACCUGGAGCCCAGAGUGGAAUUCAAUUUUUUUUCAGUGAAAUGAUCAGGAUCAAAUGAAACCUUGUAAC
rnacentral:lncRNA from 1 species